GUUUAUUUAACGGGAAACCCGCAAGAGCAGCUGCCCAGUGCAACAGUACAUAUUUGCUUCUGAAUCCUUUCUCAAAGGCACUAUUUAAACAUGUUGAUGAACUGAGCUGAAUUUCUCCCCACCUCCAUUCCAGCAAAACAAGGAGACUCAGAAGAUAAAGUUUGUUUUGCUAUUGCAAGCAGUGCUAUGUGUGAACAUUUCUGUUUGACAUGACAUAGCAAUUCUGCACCAAUGGUGCUUGAAAUAGGCCACAGAUAAGACAAAUUAACUGGGACUCACAAAUAUCCAGUUAUGAUCUAAUGCAAAUUGCAUACAUUCCCAAGGAGAAAAAGAAAAAUAAGAAGUUUCUUUUAACAUGAAGAAGUUGCUGUUUUAAAUAUCAGAGUGAAGUCAGAGUAGUGCUACUGGAUUACCAUCAUUAACUAGGCCAACUUUAUAAAUCCUCUGAAAUAUGAAGACAAAUUGCAUUCAGAAAUUAAUUGGAUUCUGCAUGAGUAUUAAAUAUUUUGCAUUCA